rnacentral:rRNA from 1 species
UAAUACGUAGGGUGCAAGCGUUAAUCGGAAUUACUGGGCGUAAAGCGUGCGCAGGCGGUUGUGCAAGACAGAUGUGAAAUCCCCGGGCUUAACCUGGGAAUUGCAUUUGUGACUGCACGGCUAGAGUGUGUCAGAGGGGGGUAGAAUUCCACGUGUAGCAGUGAAAUGCGUAGAUAUGUGGAGGAAUACCGAUGGCGAAGGCAGCCCCCUGGGAUAACACUGACGCUCAUGCACGAAAGCGUGGGGAGCAAACAGGAUUAGAUACCCUGGUAGUCCACGCCCUAAACGAUGUCUACUAGUUGUCGGGUCUUAAUUGACUUGGUAACGCAGCUAACGCGUGAAGUAGACCGCCUGGGGAGUACGGUCGCAAGAUUAAAACUUAAAUGAAUUGACGG